rnacentral:rRNA from 1 species
GACGAACGCUGGCGGCGUGCUUAACACAUGCAAGUCGAACGGUGAAGGGACCGGUUUUUGCUGGUUCUGGAUGAGUGGCGAGCGGGUGUGUAACACGUGAGUAACCUGCCCCCUUCUUCUGGAUAACCGCAUGAAAGUGUGGCUAAUACGGGAUAUUCUGCGCCUGCUGCAUGGUGGGUGUGGGAAAGAUAUUGUUUCGGUGGGGGAUGGGCUCGCGGCCUAUCAGCUUGUUGGUGGGGUGAUGGCCUACCAAGGCGGUGACGGGUAGCCGGCCUGAGAGGGUGGACGGUCACACUGGGACUGAGACACGGCCCAGACUCCUACGGGAGGCAGCAGUGGGGAAUAUUGCACAAUGGGCGCAAGCCUGAUGCAGCGACGCCGCGUGAGGGAUGGAGGCCUUCGGGUUGUAAACCUCUUUCGCCAGUGAAGCAGGCCUGUCCCUUUUGUGGGUGGGUUGACGGUAGCUGGAGAAGAAGCGCCGGCUAACUACGUG